AAUAGAUACCCCGGUAGUCCACGCCGUAAACGAUGUCGACUUGGAGGUUGUUCCCUUGAGGAGUGGCUUCCGGAGCUAACGCGUUAAGUCGACCGCCUGGGGAGUACGGCCGCAAGGUUAAAACUCAAAUGAAUUGACGGGGGGCCCGCACAAGCGGUGGAGCAUGUGGUUUAAUUCGAUGCAACGCGAAGAACCUUACCUACUCUUGACAUCCAGAGAACUUUCCAGAGAUGGAUUGGUGCCUUCGGGAACUCUGAGACAGGUGCUGCAUGGCUGUCGUCAGCUCGUGUUGUGAAAUGUUGGGUUAAGUCCCGCAACGAGCGCAACCCUUAUCCUUUGUUGCCAGCGGUCCGGCCGGGAACUCAAAGGAGACUGCCAGUGAUAAACUGGAGGAAGGUGGGGAUGACGUCAAGUCAUCAUGGCCCUUACGAGUAGGGCUACACAUGUGCUACAAUGGCGUAUACAAAGAGAAGCGACCUCGCGAGAGCAAGCGGACCUCAUAAAGUACGUCGUGGUCCGGAUUGGAGU
rnacentral:rRNA from 1 species